rnacentral:lncRNA from 1 species
CAGGGUGGGGAUAGGAAUCCAUCCAGGGCUUUCAUCAUAGAAGGUGGGUGGGGUCUGCCCAGGUGCUGACCACACUGCGGGGGGCCCACCCUUUCUUUCCCAGCAGCUCUCUGGGUCCCGGCAAGGAAAGGAGGGCUUGCUUCAGUGGGUGGUUGAGGAGGAUUGAACAAAGCAGGUUUAUUAUAUUAAAAAAAAAAAGGUGGGAGGGACUAAGGGAUGCCAGCACAGGAAGAAGAAGCAUCCAGGAGCUGUUCCCACCCCAGGCCAGAUGUGGAGGGAGCUGUAGCCGUCACUCUGUGCUCAGCUCGAGCUGCCGUGGUCAGAGCAGGACCACCGGAAAGGAGUGCUGGCUUCCUGGAAAGGAGCACCUCCACGGCUGCCUCGGCCAGGGAGGGAACUGGACACUAGCCUCAUGUUUCUCCAACCUCCAGCUGCCCCUCCCAGCUUCUGCUGUGACUGAAUCCACCUGGAGGCCAGAGGAUAGGGAAGCCCAUGGAUGCCGGCCAUAGAGGCCAGGGCCUUGGGGCACAGAGCCAGCGGAGGUGAGUGGACAGUGGAGCAGAGGGCAGUGGAGUGCAUGCAGCCUCUGCCGUCACUAGGCAGUUUGCUUUCCUUCUGACACCUGCCAGUCACCUCACAGUUUCAACAGGGCUGCUGAACGCCAGGCAUCAAGCACAUGUUCCAGCCAGUGACAGGAGGGGAAGGCAGGGAGACAAAGGCCGCCAGCAGACCUCCACUUCCAACUCACGAGCCGGAAAUGGGUCCAUAGUUUUUCCUCUUAGGGCAAUAGCAUGGGAGGCCAUUGAUUCCCAGAGACGUUCCCAAUGUUAGGCCACCCACCAGGGGCCUAAGAAGUGAAAAGUCGAUCAGUCCUGCUCAGAGGAAGUGGAUAGUAAAUAAACAAUAAGGAAGUCUUUGCACAGAAACCUAGGCUUGUGUUGCUGUAUUAGACACCACAAACAUCGCAAAGUGAAACAGAGAGCAUUUGUGAUCUUCAACUGCAAUCUGAGCUGGAUUUUACAAUGAGGAAGUUGUGAUAAGUUGUCCUUGUUAUUCUGCAGGAUCUCGUAAGGAGGCCACUUGCAUUCAGAAUCUGUCAAAGGACCAUUUUCAAAGCAGAGCUUAAAGCGGCAUCACUAGCACGUCUCACACAACACAGAAGUCCUGGGGUCGAGGCCUGGGCGCAGUCUCUGCUCUCCGUGAAUUCAGUCAACGAGGCUUUGCCUGUCCUUGCCGGUGCCCUGGGGAGAUGCAGCGGAACGGGCUGCCUCUCCUCGUUCUGUGGGAGCUCACAACCGUGUUUGGCACACGCAGGUCAGCCAGGGUGAAGGGUGAAGUGUGAGCAGGAGGAGGAACAAGCCGAGGGCUGCAAGAGGAAGAAGAGGGCGGUCACUGAAAGGGCCACGGAGCUGUGCCCCAAGGUCCUGUUGGUUCUGAGUUCAGGCACUGCUGGCAGCCAGGAGGGCUCACAGCCCUGGGGCACAGGGGCGAGGUAGUGAUGCAACUGCCUGGCAGGUGCCUUGGGUGGAGACGAGUGCCCCCAUCUCAGUCAUCAUGACUUCUUUAUUCAUGAGCUCCAAAUAUUAUUUUCCUGGCCAACCACAACUCCUGGUCAGGCUGGGGGUGGUCAACUUUCUUUUGCCUCAUUUAAACGCACAGUGCUGCUCCUCAAGUCAACAACCUCUCUUCAGACUCUGCAUUUUAUUGAUCAUGGUACUGCGCAAGACUUUUCAGGAGAGUUUGGUCAUCUCCCAUGAUGCCAACUCCAGAAGAUUAGGAGUGGGCCCCUGUGCGAACAGGAGGUUGUUCUGGGGUCCAUGAGAGGCGGCGGUCACACUUCCUAACACGUUCAGCUGACGCUGGUGCAAAUAGGACAAAGGAGGGGCUCUCACCCCAAACAUUCCAGUCAGGGGGACGGAACUUGGUAAAUGUUCGGGGAGCCAUGGGGGUCAUCCUGUGCCCUCCUCCUGGUCUGUUCACCAAGCUCAAGAGGGAAGACAAGUGAUCAGAAAUCCGCAGAUAGUGAGCAACAGCGGGAAAGGACUCACCAGGAAGGAGGCAGCCAAGAAAGAGCAGGUCCUUCUCUGCUGCCCAGGCUGGAGUGCAGUGGUGCAA